AAAUGUGCAGCAGAAAUGAGCUGGUUUAGGCUGAAGGCAAUACUGGAAGCCAGGAAAUCCGCUUCCGGUUCCUGUCUAAUGUCGUGUGACUUCCCCUCCCUCAGGAGCAGCAUUCCUGGGAGGGAAGAUCUGAGGGCAGAGGGCUCCCUGCUCUUGUGUCGGUCUGGAAAGGCCUGAAUUCCUCCCUCACUUUCAAGCUCCUCAAUAUGCAGCUGUAGAACCACGACUUGGAGGACUAAGAGCUUCCCUCCUGCUUCUGAUAGGAGCCUGGGCUGGGCUGCUCACUGAAUAACAGAAGAAACUGUGGGAUUCACAGCAGACACCACCUGGCCAAGCAGGCUCAGGGGAGAAGUCAUUGUUCUCACCAUCUAAAGUAGAUCAUCUCCGAGAAAGAGAACUGGAGGUAGGCUCCCGGUAAGACACCUGCAUACACAUCCCAUCUCAGGGUACCCACUUUGAUGCUCAGCUCCAGCUUCCCAUUAGAGCCACGAAGACUCAAGUCAUUGGGUUCCUGCCCCAUCACACAAGAGACCUCGAUUGAGUUCCCAGCUCCUAGAUUUGGCCUCGCCCCAGUCCUGGCCAUUGUGGGAACUAGUAGAUGAGAGCUCCUUCCAUCCAUUGAACCCUUACUCUCUCAAAUGAAUGCAUAAAAACAUUAGCCAACCACAAUCAUCCCAGAUUUGAUAUCAGCAAGGAGUGCAUGUGUGAGUUUAACUUCUCUGGGGUUUAAAGAGCUCUUCCAAUCUCUUUGCUGAACUGUUUCUAACUCCUAGGCAAUGCUAUUUCAGUUAUUCCAGGUCUCUGAAGGCAGGGGGAGAUGGAAUUUUCCUCCUUGGCUAUGUUUCUGACUAUGAUUUCAUGAGGCUGCCAGUCCUGGAUACCAGGGCUCUGCAGUGCAGCCAAGCUUGCUUUAUUUCUUGGCCUUCAGAAGGAAUAGGUAUGCAUCAGUUGACCGCUGUGUAACAGCUGUCAGCUCCUGGAUGACUUAUAAGUCAUAUCCAUCCUAUUCCUCAGAAUGACACCAACUUGGGCGUUCAGAGUUAGGAAAGCACUCCCAAAAGGUGAUGGCUGGAAUCAUCUGUGGUUCAAAAAAAUUAAAAUCCACACA